rnacentral:rRNA from 1 species
AUUGAACGCUGGCGGCAUGCUUUACACAUGCAAGUCGAACGGCAGCGGGGGCUUCGGCCUGCCGGCGAGUGGCGAACGGGUGAGUAAUGCAUCGGAACGUGCCCAUGUCGUGGGGGAUAACGUAUCGAAAGGUACGCUAAUACCGCAUACGCCCUGAGGGGGAAAGCGGGGGAUUCUUCGGAACCUCGCGCGAUUGGAGCGGCCGAUGUCGGAUUAGCUAGUAGGUGAGGUAAAGGCUCACCUAGGCGACGAUCCGUAGCGGGUCGGAGAGGAUGAGCCGCCACACGGGGAAUGAGACACGGUCCAGACUCCUACGGGAGGCAGCAGUGGGGAAUUUUGGACAAUGGGGGCAACCCUGAUCCAGCCAUGCCGCGUGAGUGAAGAAGGCCUUCGGGUUGUAAAGCUCUUUCGGCCGGGAAGAAAUCGCAUGGGCUAAUACCCUGUGUGGAUGACGGUACCUGAAUAAGAAGCACCGGCUAACUACGUGCCAGCCGCCGCCGUAA